CCUACGGGUGAGCAGCAGUGGGGAAUAUUGGACAAUGGGCGAAAGCCUGAUCCAGCCAUGCCGCGUGUGUGAAGAAGGCCUUCGGGUUGUAAAGCACUUUCAGUGGGGAAGAAAGCCUUGGGGCUAAUACCCUCGAGGAAGGACAUCACCCACAGAAGAAGCACCGGCUAACUCCGUGCCAGCAGCCGCGGUAAUACGGAGGGUGCGAGCGUUAAUCGGAAUUACUGGGCGUAAAGCGCGCGUAGGCGGUCUGAUAAGCCGGUUGUGAAAGCCCCGGGCUCAACCUGGGAACGGCAUCCGGAACUGUCAGGCUAGAGUGCAGGAGAGGAAGGUAGAAUUCCCGGUGUAGCGGUGAAAUGUGUAGAGAUCGGGAGGAAUACCAGUGGCGAAGGCGGCCUUCUGGACUGACACUGACGCUGAGGUGCGAAAGCGUGGGUAGCAAACAGGAUUAGAUACCCUAGUAGUC
rnacentral:rRNA from 1 species